CGUAUGUAGGGGCGUUGGCUCGAGGGAUAAAAGCUACCCUGGGGAUAACAGGCUUAUCUCCCCCAAGAGUCCACAUCGACGGGGAGGUUUGGCACCUCGAUGUCGGCUCAUCGCAUCCUGGGGCUGUAGUCGGUCCCAAGGGUUGGGCUGUUCGCCCAUUAAAGCGGUACGCGAGCUGGGUUCAGAACGUCGUGAGACAGUUCGGUCCCUAUCCGUCGCGGGCGUAGGAAAUUUGAGAGGACCUGUCCUUAGUACGAGAGGACCGGGAUGGACAUACCGCUGGUGUACCAGUUGUUCCGCCAGGAGCACCGCUGGGUAGCUAUGUAUGGACGAGAUAAACGCUGAAAGCAUCUAAGUGUGAAACUCGCCUCGAGAUGAGAUUUCCCAUUUCCUUCGGGAAAGUAAGACCCCUCAGAGAUGAUGAGGUAGAUAGGAUGGAAGUGGAAGUGCCGUGAGGCAUGGAGCGGACCAUUACUAAUCGGUCGAGGACUUAACCAAG
rnacentral:rRNA from 2 species